rnacentral:rRNA from 1 species
GACGAACGCUGGCGGCGUGCUUAACACAUGCAAGUCGAACGGAAAGGCCCUGCUUUUGUGGGGUGCUCGAGUGGCGAACGGGUGAGUAACACGUGAGUAACCUGCCCUUGACUUUGGGAUAACUUCAGGAAACUGGGGCUAAUACCGGAUAGGAGCUCCUGCUGCAUGGUGGGGGUUGGAAAGUUUCGGCGGUUGGGGAUGGACUCGCGGCUUAUCAGCUUGUUGGUGGGGUAGUGGCUUACCAAGGCUUUGACGGGUAGCCGGCCUGAGAGGGUGACCGGCCACAUUGGGACUGAGAUACGGCCCAGACUCCUACGGUAGGCAGCAGUGGGGAAUAUUGCACAAUGGGCGGAAGCUUGAUGCAGCAACGCCGCGUGCGGGAUGACGGCCUUCGGGUUGUAAACCGCUUUCGCCUGUGACGAAGCGUGAGUGACGGUAAUGGGUAAAGAAGCACCGGCUAACUACGUG